AGUGAACGCUGGCGGCAGGCCUAACACAUGCAAGUCGAACGGCAGCACAGGAGAGCUUGCUCUCUGGGUGGCGAGUGGCGGACGGGUGAGGAAUAUAUCGGAAUCUACCCUUUCGUGGGGAAUAACGUAGGGAAACUUACGCUAAUACCGCAUACGAACUGAGGUUGAAAGCGGCGGACCGCAAGGCGUCGCGCGGAUGGAUGAGCCGAUAGCCGAUUAGCUAGUUGGCGGGGUAAAGGCCCACCAAGGCGACGAUCGGUAGCUGGUCUGAGAGGAUGAUCAGCCACACUGGAACUGAGACACGGUCCAGACUCCUACGGGAGGCAGCAGUGGGGAAUAUUGGACAAUGGGCGCAAGCCUGAUCCAGCCAUGCCGCGUGUGUGAAGAAGGCCUUCGGGUUGUAAAGCACUUUUGUUGGGAAAGAAAAGCGGUCGGUUAAUACCCGGUCGUUCUGACGGUACCCAAAGAAUAAGCACCGGCUAACUUCGUGCCAGCCGCCGCGGUAACAC
rnacentral:rRNA from 1 species